UGGACCGGCCACCUCCUUGGACUUCUGAGAGUAGAAACCAGGGUUUCCGUGCUUCCUCACCAGGACAGUUUGCCCAAAGUGCAGCAGAAAUUCUUGGAGAUGCAGAUUCGAGCCAUGGUCCAAUGCUUAUGGCUGAACUGGAAUCACAACCAGUUUCAAGUGCUGCUGUGCAAGCAGCCCAAGUAAGCUGCAGAGUGACAUCUGUUUCCAAAGGUCUCUCACAGGAAGGAAGCCAAGGAGCUGCAGAAGUUGAACCUGUGAGACCCCGAGUUAUUCAUGUGAGAGCUAAGUGUGAAGAGAUGCAGC